rnacentral:rRNA from 1 species
AUGAGAAAAUAUAAGAUGUUAAACCUCUAAUAUCCCAGUUUAAUAAAAACACAUUAUAAUUUAACUUGGGAGUCAGAACAUGGGUGAUAAGGUCCGUGUUCGUAAGGGAAACAGCCCAGACCACCAGCUAAGGUCCCAAAAUAUAUGUUAAGUGGAAAAGGAUGUGGCGUUGACCAGACAACUAGGAUGUUGGCUUAGAUGCAGCCAUCAUUUAAAGAGUGCGUCAUA